AUGAGCAGUUAUUAAUUUAAAUUAGAUUGUAUAAUUUCGAAAUGUUUAAGCAAAAACAGAAUGGGUUGUCUUCAGUUUUGUAAACUAUACAUAAAAAUAUCUGCAUGGAACUUCAGCAGACGGGCUGAAUGAGACAGAGAUUCACUCUCUGCCUGCAGAGGCAAGAUGAGGCAAGAUGAAAAGAAAAAAUACCAUCGAAACUUUUCUAAAGACAGUAAGUUCUCCUCAGACAUGCAUUCAUAUAAACUCCUACUCCAAAUUGAAUCGCGAUUUGUUUAGCAUCUCAACCAUUUUGAAUCGUUAUAUAUUUGAAUCGAUUUUCAACCGGCUCGCAGUUAAUCGUUACAUCCCUAAUGUUUUGGAUGUGAUUAAUCUUGAUUAAUCAUUUGACAGCACUAUUUUCAAUACACNCAAGAUGAAAAGAAAAAAUACCAUCGAAACUUUUCUAAAGACAGUAGGUUCUCCUCAGACAUGCAUUCAUAUAUAUAUAAAUAUUUGUUGUGCUAUUUGCUUUAAGAAACACACACACACACACACACACACACACACACACACACACACACACACACACACACAGUAUCUGCUUGCGUGGUUAAACUGAUGACUAUCUAUGCACAACAAUUUAAAAGGCAGAAAUCACAUUGACACUUACAUAUGCCUCACCCACAAGCAACACCACACAUGUGACUAGCAUGAAGGUCAGCACUUCAAUCAUUGCACUGAGUUGCAUUUUCUGGAAAGUCUCUGAACUGUUGGUGGAGGUGGUAGUCAGGCCUGGAGAUAAUGCAACUCUUCCCUGUGACAUUGAGAUUGUCAUCGGAGAGGAGAUUCGUUGGGUUAAGAUCUGCUCUUUACAGAUCCAACCGCCUCUGAUCAUCUCUGCAUACAACAGCAUGUUACAACCCAUUCCACGAUUCUCUGUGUUCUGGAACAAUACUUUAAAAUCUUAUGACUUACUGAUCGAGAACAUCACCGAAGCAGACCUUGGUCUCUACUAUUGCUCAAGGGUUGGGAAAAAAUACAUUAAACAGAACGGAAUAAUCUUCGAGAAGGAUGAGUAUCACACUGGUGAUACUCUCUUAAACCUCACAUACGGUUCACCUGUCUCCCCCUCAGAAAGCCCCCCUGAAUUAGAUUGUGACUGCUGGCAGUGCUGGCUGAUACUGCAAACAGUGUGUCCUGCAUGUUCUCUUCUCUCUGCCAUUUUGGCUUUUGUUUGCGGCUACAGAUGCUACCACAAGACAGUGCUGAAGGAGUCUGAAGGUCAUCAAAGUGGUUCUGAGACGCAAAGACAGUUGAGCCAAGAACAGGAUGUCCAUACAGAAGUUUACUAUGCAUCACUGAACAUCCCCAGACGAGGAUGCAAACGGACAAAGAGCAGCCGACUGCAAAGCUCUGACUUCAGUGUAUAUGAUGGCAUAAAAAUGCACACUUAGGUAAAGGAUUAUGUACAUUCAGGUGGUCAAAUACCAAAGUUAAUCCAAGGUUUAUCAAACAUGUUUAUCAAUAUUUUUUUUUUUUUUUUUUUAGAAUAUAAACCGGGGUUUAAAUUAAAAAGACAACAAUGUAAAUAUUAUCCAUAAUUCAUGAUCUGGAGACUGGCAUCUAAUGUGUUGGAAUAUCUCAAACACGGAGCUAACUUCAGUCCCAAUUGUCAUUUGUAUUACAUUUGUUUGUAAUUUAAACAGUUAUUUGACUUUCAUAAUUUAAACAGUUAUUUGACUUUUCAUAGUUUUCAUAAGUGCUUUUGAAAACAGUAUUUCUGUUAUACACAAGUCAAGUGUUUUAUUUUGUAAUCCUCCAAAGAUUACUGAUGGUUUAUAUUUGUUUUCUUCUGUGCAUUACAUGGAAAAUAUUUGACAUCUUUGUUUUGCAAAUGGAACUUCAGAUGCGUGUGGUGGCUUUCAGAUCCCAUUUCACUGACCCCAUUUCAGCUGUUGACUUCCUUCUUAUCAGAUUUGCAGCUUCAGAUGUUUGCAUUAAAAUGCUUUUGAGUGGUCAAUGAAUGUUGUGUGAGAAAACAAUUCUAUAUAUAAUGAUAUAUCUUCAAGAUGAUUACAGUAGUUUAUAUUCAAAGUUUAUUACAUUCAAAGAUAUUAUCUGAAAGAACAGACACAAUAAAGAGCAUACACAAAAAAGAAAGAAUGAAUGA
ensembl:lncRNA